UCUCUGUGAAAUAAGUAAAUAUAAUCUUUAAAAAAAUAAAUAUGUGAAAGUUAUACAUAUUGAUUUCUUCAAAUUCCCAGCCUCUCACUAAAGAAGAGGAAUUCUAGAAGGAGAAGCAAACUUUAUGCCCUCUUAAGUCUUUUAAAUUCUGGAAUAUUAGAGUGGAAGUGUUCCAUCAUUUUUUGACUAGAGGGAAAGAUCACUUGAGAAAGGCCAUUCUCCAAAAGCGGGUCACAGAGUGCUGCACGAUGGGACCACAACGUCCCCAAACUGUUUGUGCUCUUGACUUAGAGGCAGUGACAUGUAACUCCAGCAGUUACGAAUGGGGCUCAGUAAUGCCACAAGACAUCUUAGAAAGUGUGAUUCCCAUGAGUAGUUUGAAGUGGCGUGUACGUUCUGUAGGAAGUGAGAUUAUUCCAGUGUUGUUGAAACCAUUGUGUUGGAAUGAGGAAGAGAAAGUUGAAAACUGGUUUGAUUUGAAAAUGAACAUGUGUUUGCUGUGUACAUUGGGAAACACUAAGCUGCAUUUGUAAUAAUGGCCUUAUUGGUGCCCGGGCGUGAGUUAGCUGUAAAGGAAAUGAUGCUUGGACCCUUUGCCCGAAGUUUAGAAAAGCAGGACAGUUUUUGUUAUGUGUGGUCACAGGACAUAGUCACUGUGAACAGUGUUACGGUAGCUCUUACCACUUGGUGGAUUAAUAAGGAAUGUGAAAAUGAAUAAAAUUCCCAAUAAUUCCCAUUAAUUACUCAGGAAUGGGAAAAU